rnacentral:rRNA from 3 species
UUGGACCUGAUAUCAGGCAAGAUUACCCGCUGA